rnacentral:rRNA from 1 species
GCCCUUGAGUUUGAUCCUGGCUCAGGAUGAACGCUAGCGGCAGGCUUAAUACAUGCAAGUCGAACGGCAGCGGGUCGUAGCAAUACGAUGCCGGCGAGUGGCGCACGGGUGCGUAACACGUAUGCAACCUACCUCAAACAGGGACAUAACAUCGAGAAAUCGGUACUAAUAUUCCAUAACAUUAUUGAUUGGCAUCAGUUGAUAAUUAAAGCUACGGUGGUUUGAGAUGGGCAUGCGUCCCAUUAGUUAGUUGGCGGGGUAACGGCCCACCAAGACGUCGAUGGGUAGGGGCUCUGAGAGGAUAACCCCCCACACUGGUACUGAGACACGGACCAGACUCCUACGGGAGGCAGCAGUAAGGAAUAUUGGUCAAUGGGCGGAAGCCUGAACCAGCCAUGCCGCGUGCAGGAAGACGGCCUUAUGGGUUGUAAACUGCUUUUAUACGGGAGUAAACUAACCUACGUGUAGGUUAUUGCAAGUACCGUAUGAAUAAGCAUCGGCUAACUCCGUGCCAGCAGCCGCGGUAAUACGAAGGAUGCAAGCGUUAUCCGGAUUCAUUGGGUUUAAAGGGUGCGUAGGCUGGCGCUAUAAGUCAGGGGUGAAAAGCAUAGGCUCAACUUAUGCACUGCCUUUGAUACUGUAGGCCUAGAGUGCAAAUGAGGUUGGCGGAAUGUGUAGUGUAGCGGUGAAAUGCAUAGAUAUUACACAGAACACCGAUAGCGAAGGCAGCUAACCAAGAUGCAACAGACGCUGAGGCACGAAAGCGUGGGGGAUCAAACAGGAUUAGAUACCCCU